rnacentral:rRNA from 1 species
UACAGAGGUCUCAAGCGUUGUUCGGAUUCAUUGGGCGUAAAGGGUGCGUAGGCGGUCUGUUGCGUCAGGAGUGAAAACUCGGGGCUUAACCCCGAGCCUGCUUCUGAUACGGGCAGACUAGAGGUAUGCAGGGGAGAACGGAAUUCCUGGUGUAGCGGUGAAAUGCGCAGAUAUCAGGAGGAACACCGGUGGCGAAGGCGGUUCUCUGGGCAGUAACUGACGCUGAGGAGCGAAAGCGUGGGGAGCGAACAGG